UACGUAGGGUGCGAGCGUUGUCCGGAAUUAUUGGGCGUAAAAGAGCUUGUAGGCGGGUCUGUCGCGUCUGCUGUGAAAAUCCGGGGCUCAACCCCCGGACUUGCAGUGGGUACGGGCAGACUAGAGUGUGGUAGGGGAGACUGGAAUUCCUGGUGUAGCGGUGAAAUGCGCAGAUAUCAGGAGGAACACCGAUGGCGAAGGCAGGUCUCUGGGCCACUACUGACGCUGGAGAAG
rnacentral:rRNA from 1 species